ensembl:rRNA 5S_rRNA 5S ribosomal RNA
AUCUAUACCAUACUACCUUCAAAGCGCCAGAUGUAGUUUGACCUGAAAAGCUAAGGAGGAUCAGGCCUGGAUAGUACUUGGAUGGUAGACUGCCUGGGAAUACCGGGUGCUGUAGGAU